UGGUUGCGUCAUCACCACACGCCGCGACGAACGUUACGCUUGCAUUCCGCGACUGACCCACCGCCCGUCUUUGGCUGAGCUUGAGCCGCUUUGCCGGUGGUAGUAAUUGGAUUCACGACCAGUUCGGUGCCGAAGCUCCAGAGCAUCUCAUGAACGGCACCAUGGCCGCGUCCUCACACCGGAUAAUGCUGGGACCGCUGGUUGCUGCUAUCGACCAAGGGACGAGCUCCACUCGGUUUCUGGUGUUUAAUUCAAAAACAGCAGAGCUCCUCAGCCAUCAUCAGGUGGAGAUCAAGCAGAGCUUCCCCAAAGAAGGAUGGGUGGAGGAGGACCCCAAAGAAAUUCUGCAGUCGGUGUACGAGUGCAUGGAGCGGACGUGUGAAAAACUCACCCAGCUGAACAUAGACAUCUCAAACAUUAAAGCUAUUGGAGUGACCAACCAAAGAGAGACCACGCUUGUGUGGGACAAAGAGACAGGGGAGCCUCUCUACAAUGCAAUCGUUUGGCUGGACCUGCGGACUCAAUCAACAGUCGAACGUCUCAUUAACAAAACCCCGGGAAGGAAUAAGAACCACCUGAAGCACAAAACGGGGCUCCCGAUCAGCACUUACUUCAGCGCAGUGAAACUCCGCUGGCUGAUGGACAACGUGGACGAGGUCCGCGAAGCCGUCGUGUCUCACCGCGCCAUGUUCGGCACCGUGGACUCCUGGCUCAUUUGGUGUCUGACAGGUGGGAAGUCAGGCGGAGUCCACUGCACAGAUGUGACCAACGCCAGCAGAACCAUGCUGUUUAACAUUCACACUAUGGACUGGGACCCAGAACUGUGCAAAUAUUUUGGUAUUCCAAUGGAGAUCUUGCCCCGAGUGAGGAGUUCCUCAGAAAUAUAUGGCCUCAUGAAAUCUGGAGCUCUUUCAGGUAUCCCUAUUUCAGGGUGUCUGGGGGAUCAGUCGGCAGCUCUUGUUGGACAGAUGUGUUUUCAGGACGGGCAAGCUAAAAACACGUAUGGAACCGGCUGCUUUCUCCUGCGAAACACUGGACCCAAGCCUGUAAUGUCAGAUCACGGCCUCCUGACCACUGUGGCGUACAAACUCGGACGGGACAAACCUGCCUGUUAUGCACUAGAGGGCUCUGUGGCCAUUGCUGGAGCUGUGGUUCGUUGGCUGCAAGACAAUCUCGGGAUCAUCGGCUCAUCUGAAGAGCUUGAGAAGUUGGCCGCGUCAGUUGGUACAUCCUAUGGCUGUUACUUUGUUCCUGCAUUUUCGGGUCUUUAUGCACCUUACUGGGAGCCCAGCGCAAGAGGGAUCAUUUGUGGGUUAACUCAAUUUACUAACAGGAGUCACCUCGCAUUUGCUGCACUGGAAGCCGUCUGUUUCCAGACGCGAGAGAUACUAGACGCCAUGAAUCAGGACAGCGGCAUCCCGCUAACUCAGCUCCAGGUGGACGGAGGAAUGACGUCCAAUAGGUUGCUGAUGCAGCUGCAGGCAGAUAUCCUCUGUAUCCCUGUCGUCAAGCCGUCCAUGCCUGAGACCACGGCUCUCGGCGCUGCGAUGGCAGCAGGAGCAGCAGAGGGGGUGAGUGUGUGGAGUCUGAGCCCAGAGGACCUGAGUGAAGUCACCUCAGAGAAGUUCGAGCCUCAGAUCAACCCUGAAGGUGCGAGAGUGAGUUUCGAUAUGCCCGAUGGAAGAAGGCGGUGCAGAAAUCCAUGAACUGGGAAACAACGGAGCCUGUUUGUAAUGGAAACGGUGAAACUAGUAUCUUCAGCAGCGCGCCGCUGGGUUUCUACAUCAUGGGCUCCAUGUUGAUGUUAAUUGGUGCAAAAUAUCUUGCAGGUCACAACUAAGCUGCUGCUCCCUGAGGCGUUAAAGCAAAGAGGAAAGUGGAGGCAAACACUUGCACUCUGGCUUGUACUCUUUUCCAAAAGGACUUCCAGGAGAAAGAAGCUCCUGCUGAGUCCUACCGGAAAACCAGGACAGUUUUGAACUCACUGAAUGGACUUUUUCCUUUCUCAUUUUUCCGGUUAUUUUUGAAUUUAUUUUAACACAUUUUUCUGUGCAGCAGACAAGGACGUCGGUACAUUAGAUUCAUUUGAGCAGCAGUGUGCAUGCAGUAUUUGUUUUGUUUAUUAUUUUUUGUUUUUUACUGUGUUGAUCUGGUAUGAACUUCUGAGCUUAGUUGCAUAUAUGCUCCAGUGGGAGUUCAGGUUGUUGCUAUCGCUGUGUUUGGUGAAUUUCGCUGUCUAAUCUGCGUUUCAUGUUGUUUGUCACUUCACUGUUACCUUUGAACGCUUGUCUAACAUUCUUCUGGUGAGGAACAGAGGAAUCUUUUUAGAGCACUUUAUAUUAUUGUUGUGUCUUGUGGGAGUCUAAUAUUUAUUUUUCGCAUCUUUUGGGGUUAAGACAAAGACAGUUUGAGUGAGUUGGUUGUGAAAUGAAGGCAAAGAGAGUUAAUGAACUGACAGGGCAUCUUCUUGGCAAAAGUUUACAUGCUUUUGUAAGCAGAAGCAGGAAAAUGAUGUUGUGUAAACAGCCAACAUACAAUGAAGCGCAGGGACGAACUGGGAGACAAUUUUAGGAUUUCUGUGUACAUUAAGAAUAUAUAGAGACAUUUUAGGAACAAACAGUGAAUUUGGCACGACAUUAAAAGUGCUGUCAAAGCUGUAAACCAACUGGGAACAUCACGUCGGGACAAAGACUGAAGCAGCCGUUGAAGAAUGGCUUAUUUUGCAGACGAAGAUGUUGGUCCCCGCAAGUUUCAUUUCCUUACAUUCACCUCAGUGUAACAGUAUGAAGUUUUUGAGUUUCUGCUGUUUGACUUUGUACGGUUAAGAAAAACGUUAAAAAAAAUGUGCACCUUUCGCAGAUUCAGUUAUAAAACUGUUCCUCUGAUCAUAUUUAGCAGUUUUUGCGUGGGAAAUGACACAUUUCUGUUCUAGCUGCCGGUCGGUCUUUUAUCAGCUUCCAUUGCAUGUAAAACAUCUGCCAGAUUAUGCUAAAACCUUGUGUUGAACGAAUGCAGAACAUUUUAUGUGCAUCCUUAUUCAAUUAUUUAAUUUAAUACUUGAUUCAAAGGGAUCAGAGAAGGUGUGAAGGGUUAAUCUUUAGGAAGCCAGGACACGGUUGUCAGUAUUUAUUCUGUUGUCUAGUGUUUCCAUUUAGAUCAAGGCAGAACAGGUAUUUAGCUGAAGUGUAGUUGUCUAUUGGGACACCAGCUAAUUUACAAAUGGGUAUUUAUGAAUGAACUGACUGUCAGGGAAAAGUCAUUGUGUCUGUAGAGGCUUUAAGUUCCUGACUAAAACAAGCUUUAUCUGAGACUCGAGCACGAAGGCAAAGUGUGCUGCCACCUGAAGACGUUUAACUGUGCGCUCAUUGGUUUUAAUGAUGACUUGUUUCGUAUUGAUGAGUGAAAAUGUCUCCCGCCGUCUGCUCUGCAUGUCAUUCCCUUCAGCUCACUCCCAGUGGAGCUGAUUACAAAACAAGUACAAUCCUGUUCAAGUCUGUAGCGCAUUAAAGAGACAUUUAACCUGAAA